rnacentral:rRNA from 1 species
GCAUAUCAAUAAGCGGAGGAAAAGAAACCAACAGGGAUUGCCCUAGUAACGGCGAGUGAAGCGGCAACAGCUCAAAUUUGAAAUCUGGCGCAAGCCCGAGUUGUAAUUUGUAGAGGAUGCUUCUGGGUAGCGACCGAUCUAAGUUCCUUGGAACAGGACGUCAUAGAGGGUGAGAAUCCCGUAUGUGACCGGCCCGCACCCUUUACGUAGCUCCUUCGACGAGUCGAGUUGUUUGGGAAUGCAGCUCUAAAUGGGAGGUAAAUUUCUUCUAAAGCUAAAUACCGGCCAGAGACCGAUAGCGCACAAGUAGAGUGAUCGAAAGAUGAAAAGUACUUUGGAAAGAGAGUUAAAAAGCACGUGAAAUUGUUGAAAGGGAAGCGCCUGCAACCAGACUUCGCGGCAGUGUUCCGCCGGUCUUCUGACCGGUUCAUUCUCUGUCGCGAGGCCAUCAUCGUCUAGGCCCGCCGGAUAAGACCUUGGGAAUGUAGCUCACCUUCGGGGGAGUGUUAUAGCCCAUGGUGAUGCGGCGAGGCUUGGGCGAGGUCCGCGCUUCGGCAAGGAUGAUGGCGUAAUGGUUGUCGGCGGCCCGUCUUGAAACACGGACCAAGGAGUCUAACAUCUAUGCGAGUGUUCGGGUGUCAAACCCCUACGCGUAAUGAAAGUGAACGGAGGUGGGAACCGCAAGGUGCACCAUCGACCGAUCCUGAUGUCCUCGGAUGGAUUUGAGUAAGAGCAUAGCUGUUGGGACCCGAAAGAUGGUGAACUAUGCCUGAAUAGGGUGAAGCCAGAGGAAACUCU